rnacentral:rRNA from 1 species
UACGUAGGGUGCGAGCGUUAAUCGGAAUUACUGGGCGUAAAGCGUGCGCAGGCGGUUCGACAAGUCCGAUGUGAAAGCCCCGGGCUCAACCUGGGAAUGGCAUUGGAAACUGGCGAGCUUGAGUGUGGCAGAGGGGGGUGGAAUUCCGCGUGUAGCAGUGAAAUGCGUAGAGAUGCGGAGGAACACCGAUGGCGAAGGCAGCCUCCUGGGCCAACACUGACGCUCAUGCACGAAAGCGUGGGGAGCAAACAGG